GCCGGAGUGGCGGAAUUGGCAGACGCAAGGGACUUAAAAUCCCUCGGACCCUUGGUCCAUGCGGGUUCGAGCCCCGCCUCCGGCACCA
rnacentral:tRNA from 1 species